rnacentral:misc_RNA from 1 species
CCUUUACCAUCUGAACUUGUUUAACCAUGGCCGCCAUUUUCUCUCACUUAACUUCCCUCCGAUCACCCGAUGCCGUUUCAUUCUCCUCUCUCUCAAGCUCUGGCAUUCAGUCGUAUCGCUUUUCAGGCGUAUUUGCAUCUUUUCCGAUCACUUUUCCGGCCACUAGUCAACGUGUCUCAUGCCAGGCGACCUCUCCGGCAGCAUCUCCGUCUUCGUCCGUCAAUGUAAAUGCUAGUCAGAAGGACUUUUUGCACAUCACUGAUUUUGACAAAUCAACUCUUUUGAACAUCUUGGAUCGAGCCAAAGAGGUCAAAGAACUUAUAAAAUCAGGGGAGAGGACAUAUCUCCCAUUUAAAGGUAAAACUAUGGCGAUGAUCUUUGCUAAGCCAUCCAUGAGGACUCGGGUUUCCUUUGAGACAGGGUUUUACUUGCUUGGUGGGCAUGCUAUAUACCUGGGACCAGAUGACAUUCAGAUGGGUAAACGGGAAGAAACUCGUGAUAUUGCUCGUGUUCUGUCUCGCUACAAUGAUAUCAUUAUGGCCCGAGUUUUUGCUCAUCAGGACAUUCUAGAUCUUGCUAAAUAUGCAACUGUACCGGUGAUUAACGGCCUUACAGACUACAACCAUCCUUGCCAAAUUAUGGCAGAUGCCCUCACAAUAAUUG